rnacentral:rRNA from 1 species
GACAGAGGGUGCAAACGUUUGUUCGGAAUUACUGGGCGUAAAGCGCGUGUAGGCGGCUAAGUAAGUCGGGCGUGAAAUCCCACGGCUCAACCGUGGAAGUGCACUCGAAACUGCAUAGCUAGAGUCCUGGAGAGGAAGGUGGAAUGCUUGGUGUAGAGGUGAAAUUCGUAGAUAUCAAGCGGAACACCGGUGGCGAAGGCGGCCCUCUGGACAGUGACUGACGCUGAGACGCGAAAGCGUGGGGAGCAAACAGG